GACGUAGGAGGCGAGCGUUGUCCGGAUUCAUUGGGCGUAAAGAGCACGCAGGCGGUUUGGCAAGUCGGAUGUGAAAACCCGGAGCUCAACUCCGGACCUGCAUCCGAAACUGCCCCGACGUAGAGGUAGGUAGGGGAGAUCGGAAUUCCUGGUGUAGCGGUGAAAUGCGUAGAGAUCGGAAAGAACACCAACGGCGAAAGCACUCUGCUGGGCCGACACUGACACUGAGAGACGAAAGCUAGGGGAGCGAAUGGG
rnacentral:rRNA from 1 species